rnacentral:rRNA from 1 species
AGCUCCAAUAGCGUAUAUUAAAGUUGUUGCAGUUAAAAAGCUCGUAGUUGGAUUUCUGGGUCAAGCUCCUGGUCCGCCGCUCCGCGGUGCCGACUAUGUGUAGCGUUGGCUCAUCCUUGUGGGAAAGUCAGUCCGGCGUUCAUUCGUCAGCUGUUGGAACCACAUCUUUUACUGUGAAAAAAUUAGAGUGUUCAAAGCAGGCUUACGCUAUGAAUACAUUAGCAUGGAAUAAUAAGAUAGGACUUUGGUUCUAUUUUGUUGGUUGGAGGCCAAGGUAAUGAUUAAUAGGGAUAGUUGGGGGUAUUCAUAUUUAAUUGUCAGAGGUGAAAUUCUUGGAUUUAUGAAAGAUGAACUUAUGCGAAAGCAUUUACCAAGGAUGUUUUCA